rnacentral:rRNA from 1 species
AUUAGUAAUGGGCGAAAACCUGAACUAGCAACGCCGCGUGUGCGAAGAAGGCCUUCGGGUUGUAAAGCACUUUUUGAGAGGAGGAGGAAGGACGGUACUCUCAGAAUAAGUCUCGGCUAACUACGUGCCAGCAGCCGCGGUAACACGUAGGAGGCAUACGUUAUCCGGAUUUACUGGGCGUAAAGCGCGGGUAGGUGGUUUGGUAAGUAGGGCGUGAAAGCUCCUGGCUCAACUGGGAGAGGCCGUUCUAAACUGCCGAACUAGAGGAUGGUAGAGGGAGGUGGAAUUCCGGGUGUAGCGGUGGAAUGCGCAGAUAUCCGGAGGAACACCAGUGGCGAAAGCGGCCUCCUGGACCAUUCCUGACACUCAGACGCGAAAGCUAGGGUAGCAAACGG